AUGGAUCCUACCUCUUGUCCCUCCCAUCAUCCUGAGGAUGCCUGGGGACUGGUUCUUCAGGGCAUGCUUUCUCGCCUGCCGGCCUUCCACCAUGGGAUGAAGCAGCAAGAAGGCUCUUGCCAGAGGCAGACCCCUCGACCUUGGACUUCCCAGCCCCCAGAACUGCCCAUGCUGUGCAGACUGGGAUGUGGGGGUGCACCUCAGAUGAGAAGGAGAGUGGUACAGGAGCUACCCAGCUGCUGUUUGAGGAAUGGAUGUUGUGUCCACAGUCUGCCCUCACCCCUUGUCAACGGCUGGGAGCACGUAAACUCUUGCAAAUUAUUUAACCUCUCUGUGCCUCAGUUUCCUCACUAUAAAUCGUGGAUGGUAAUCAUGCACCUGCUCCUCUGA